GCUGGAGUGGUGGAAUGGCAUACACGCCAGUCUCAAAAACUGGUGAGUUCACGCUCGUGAGGGUUCAACUCCCUCCUCCAGCA
rnacentral:tRNA from 1 species